GACGAACGCUGGCGGCGUGCUUAACACAUGCAAGUCGAACGAAGUGGCGAACGGGUUAGUAACGCGUCAUCAACCUGCCCUUCAGAGGGGGACAACUGCUGGAAACGACUGCUAAUACCGCAUCCUGCAGGCGGGGAUUGCGUCUGAUUAGCUAGUUGGAGGGGUAACGGCCCACCAAGGCGAUGAUCAGUAGCCGGUCUGAGAGGAUGAACGGCCACAUUGGGACUUGGACACGGCCCAGACUCCUACGGGAGGCAGCAGUGGGGAAACUGCCGCAAUGGACGAAAGUCUUACGGAGCAACGCCGCGUGAGGGAUGACGGCCUUCGGGUUGUAAAGCUCUGUUAAUCGGGACGCGGUACCGGAAGAGAAAGCAACGGCUAACUACGUGCCAGCAGCCGCGGUAAUUC
rnacentral:rRNA from 1 species